AUCCUGGCUCAGGAUGAACGCUAGCGCAGGCUUAACACAUGCAAGUCGGAGGGGUAUAGUUCUUCGGAAUUAGAGACCGGCGNACGGGUGCGUAACGCGUAUGCAAUCUACCUUUCACAGAGGGAUAGCCCAGAGAAAUUUGGAUUAAUACCUCAUAGUAUAGCAGUUUCGCAUGAAACCACUAUUAAAGUCACAACGGUGAAAGAUGAGCAUGCGUCCCAUUAGCUAGUUGGUAAGGUAACGGCUUACCAAGGCAACGAUGGGUAGGGGUCCUGAGAGGGAGAUCCCCCACACUGGUACUGAGACACGGACCAGACUCCUACGGGAGGCAGCAGUGAGGAAUAUUGGACAAUGGGCGCAAGCCUGAUCCAGCCAUGCCGCGUGCAGGAUGACGGUCCUAUGGAUUGUAAACUGCUUUUAUACAGGAAGAAACACUACUUCGUGAAGUAGCUUGACGGUACUGUAAGAAUAAGGAUCGGCUAACUCCGUG
rnacentral:rRNA from 1 species